rnacentral:rRNA from 1 species
GCUGGAUUCGCUAGUAAUCGCGCAUCAACCAUGGCGCGGUGAAUACGUUCCCGGGCCUUGUACACACCGCCCGUCAAGCCAUGGAAGCCGGGGGUGCCUGAAGUGUGCAGCCGCAAGGAGCGCCCUAAGGUAAAACCGGUGACUGGGGCUAAGUCGUAACAAGGUACC